UAAGUUUCGCAAAUUAACCCAAAUCCCAAAUUUUCCCUCUCGACGCCAUUUCUGUAAGCUUCUGUUCCUUCGAGCUCUACUCUUCGCUCUUCCCCAAUUGUUUUGCAGGGGUUUAGUGAGUUAUAUGAGUGGGUGCUUCAUCUUCAAUCUUACUGACACAUAGAUUGGGAAGAAGGUGGUUGGUUGGUGUGGCAAAGAAGACAGCGCCAUCAAUUGCAAGGCAAUCAAGUUGCUUCAAUUUUUAGAUCAUACUUAGUUAAUUUUUUAAUUUUGCAUUUAUCUCUGUCUGAAGAAUUGAAAUAUGUUAUUUUUAGAGUUAUUACUAAUUGUUGGUUGCUGCUUGGUGUGUCUCCUCCUCUUAAUCUGUACAAUGAUAGCUUCUCCAAUAGUGCUUUAAUAGAGACAAGACUAUAGUACUAUUGUCCUCUGUGAUACUACCAGAAUUGACAUUGGCCCAGUUUCUUUAGCAAGUUGGUAGCCUUAUGUAUUGGGCUUUAAUGUCACUAAUAAGAAGGUGCUUCAUGGUAGGUUAUGGGUUACUCUGUCAUUCUAACACUUUCAAUAUCUGUGUUAAAUGCAUUCUAAUGUAAUUGGGGGUCAGUUGUGCUUCAGAUGGACAUGUGUAUGAGGUAGCAGGGGUUAGUUUAGUUCUAUUGGCAUGGGUGCAUUUUUGUUUGUAACAAACUCUUUUGUGGGACUUGACAAGGGCAAAUCUUUUGGUUCAACUCAA